ACUCGAGUGGCGAACGGGUGAGUAACACGUGGGCGAUCUGCCCUGCACUUCGGGAUAAGCCUGGGAAACUGGGUCUAAUACCGGAUAGGACCACGGGAUUCAUGUCCUGUGGUGGAAAGCUUUUGCGGUGUGGGAUGGGCCCGCGGCCUAUCAGCUUGUUGGUGGGGUAACGGCCUACCAAGGCGACGACGGGUAGCCGGCCUGAGAGGGUGUCCGGCCACACUGGGACUGAGAUACGGCCCAGACUCCUACGGGAGGCAGCAGUGGGGAAUAUUGCACAAUGGGCGCAAGCCUGAUGCAGCGACGCCGCGUGGGGGAUGACGGCCUUCGGGUUGUAAACCUCUUUCACCAUCGACGAAGGUUCGGGUUUUCUCGGAUUGACGGUAGAUGGAGAAGAAGCACCGGCCAACUACGUGCCAGCAGCCGCGGUAAUACGUAGGGUGCGAGCGUUGUCCGGAAUUACUGGGCGUAAAGAGCUCGUAGGUGGUUUGUCGCGUUGUUCGUGAAAUCUCACGGCUUAACUGUGAGCGUGCGGGCGAUACGGGCAGACUAGAGUACUGCAGGGGAGACUGGAAUUCCUGGUGUAGCGGUGGAAUGCGCAGAUAUCAGGAGGAACACCGGUGGCGAAGGCGGGUCUCUGGGCAGUAACUGACGCUGAGGAGCGAAAGCGUGGGGAGCGAACAGGAUUAGAUACCCUGGUAGUCCACGCCGUAAACGGUGGGUACUAGGUGUGGGUUUCCUUCCUUGGGAUCCGUGCCGUAGCUAACGCAUUAAGUACCCCGCCUGGGGAGUACGGCCGCAAGGCUAAAACUCAAAGGAAUUGACGGGGGCCCGCACAAGCGGCGGAGCAUGUGGAUUAAUUCGAUGCAACGCGAAGAACCUUACCUGGGUUUGACAUGCACAGGACGCGUCUAGAGAUAGGCGUUCCCUUGUGGCCUGUGUGCAGGUGGUGCAUGGCUGUCGUCAGCUCGUGUCGUGAGAUGUUGGGUUAAGUCCCGCAACGAGCGCAACCUUGUCUCAUGUUGCCAGCACGUAAUGGUGGGGACUCGUGAGAGACUGCCGGGGUCAACUCGGAGGAAGGUGGGGAUGACGUCAAGUCAUCAUGCCCCUUAUGUCCAGGGCUUCACACAUGCUACAAUGGCCGGUACAAAGGGCUGCGAUGCCGCGAGGUUAAGCGAAUCCUUUAAAGCCGGUCUCAGUUCGGAUCGGGGUCUGCAACUCGACCCCGUGAAGUCGGAGUCGCUAGUAAUCGCAGAUCAGCAACGCUGCGGUGAAUACGUUCCCGGGCCUUGUACACACCGCCCGUCACGUCAUGAAAGUCGGUAACACCCGAAGCCAGUGGCCUAACCCUUUGGGAGGGAGC
rnacentral:rRNA from 1 species